GGGGGAUUAGCGAAGCGGCCAAACGCAUCAGACUGUAAAUCUGCUCACGUAAGUGUUCGGUGGUUCGAAUCCAUCAUCCCCCA
rnacentral:tRNA from 1 species